UCAUUUGUAGAUCAUAUAUGUAACAUUGCAAGAUUUAUUUUUUAACUACUUGAAUGACAUCUUCGUCAUGCAUGACAUGUUGCAAUCCUACUCUCUGAGGUGAAUAUUUUGUACUUGUACCCUGAAAAAAAGAAAAUAAUAUUUUACCUAAGGAAUAGAAUAUUAAUAUUUGUUGUUUAAUAAGCGAAUAACUUACCCAAACAAGAGCAUAUUUAAAUUGUUGAGCAAGUGUGCGAUGAAUAGCAUGGCAAACAUGCUCCACAGUAACACCUUUUCGUAAUAUUAAGCCAUCGUCAAAGUCUGGUGGUUGACCAGGUUUUUUCGUAUAUACCCUUAUCAAAGAUAGAUAUUCCCAGAGUGUUUCAAGUAAGAAAUCCAGAUUCAAUUUCAUAUUACAACUGCAACAUAAAAGCAUGUCAUAAAUGUUAAUUGUUCCAAUGAUUCUAUCAUCUUAGAAGUACUUCUUUCCAUCACAAAGUAGCAAUACAUUUAGAAGCUUUACCUAACUACUGCACUAUUAGGUUGUCUAGCAAUUCUGUCCACUUCUUCUAUCGAUAUUUGAUCUAUUUUGUUAUGUACAUAGAGGCAUGGCAAAUAUACUCUGUUAGCGUUAAUUACGUCGAUUAACUCAUCCGCGGUACAAUCUUCACGAAACAAGACUUCCGCGUUGAAGAUCUUGUAUUCAUGCAGAAUCAUUUGAACUAAUUUCUCAUCUACUUUUGUUAAUGGACACGUUGAAUUGAAGGCUAAUCCACCUCCCUUCUUCACUUUAAAAUAAAUGUUUGGUUUCUUUUUAUUUAACCGAAUGCCAACUGAUUCUAAUUCUUUCUCUAAUAGUUGCCUUUGUACAUCUUGCUUGGUUGCAUCCAGCAUCAUAAGAACUAAGUCUGCUGUUCUAGCAACAGCAAUCACCUGUCUGCCUCUUCCUUUGCCCUAAAAUAUUCAUUCAGAAGCAUGAAAUUUUAGUUAAUUGCAAGUAUCAUCGGAUUACUAGAAUAUUUGCUUACUUUCAUCAGUUCAAAGGUAAUAUCGAAAUGUCUAUACAAAAUUACCUGUGCUGCACCCUCAAUUAUACCAGGAAGAUCAAGGAGUUGAAUAUUAGCUCCUUUAUAUUCUAUUACACCAGGAAUGCAGGUCAAUGUAGUGAAUUCGUAAGAUGCUGCUUCUGAUUCUGUAUGGAUUUCUUUCCUGGCUCCAAAAGUUGUGACCUAUACUUUGCAAGUUUUGCUUUUAAUAAUCCUAGAUGAUACUCGGUGGCUGAAAAUCAAUACGUAUAUUAGCUGGUAAUGUAAGAUAAUAUAUUAGUGUAUUAAAAUUGCUAUAAUUUUGUUUUUUAUAGAAGGUUAUUUUUACAAUCCCAUGUACUUAUAAAAAAAAGUUAUUGUUUUAUUAAAACCUAUUAUAAACCAUAAAUAGUUAAAUAUUAUAUUUAUUAACGUAAUAAACAUUGUAGUAUUGUUACCGGUAUAUUUAAUACGUUAAAAUACACUUAAAAAAAGAGUA